rnacentral:lncRNA from 1 species
GCUCGACAAUAAAGGAACAUUUAAUCCAAUAACUUGAGUGUAUAGUUUCUAAGAAACAUUCAGAGUAAAAUUCAACUUUGAAAAAAAAAUUAGAGAAAUUUACGGUCAGUUUCUUACCAGAGCUAUAUUUUAUUGCCAACUCACAAAAAUAGCCGUUUCAUUAUCGUAAAUAAAAUGCUCCGCAGGGCGCAGCUUGUUACGACCGCAAAGGUCGAACCCUGAACAGUUUGGGCAAGUAUGGACAUAACAUUAAAGCUUGAUACAGCUCUGAAUUUGGAUUGUGAUUAUAUAUUUGACACAGCAUAGGUUUCUGACACAGAAUGAAUGUGGUCUAAGAACUAAAAAAAUUUAAAUUGGACAUUUACCUAUUAUGGUUCUAUACUCAAAAUUUAAAUACAUAGUUAGAUGCAGCAUAUUAAAGAACCCCAGGAAUUCAAUUUUUGACAAAAUUAUGGACCCUUUUGACCUCAAUGUGGACAAAUUUGAUAAAGGGGCCCAAAAAUCCAAAAUCUAAAUACAUGGUUAGAUUCAGCAUA